GAUUUUCAGCAAUGAGAAUCCUAGAGUGGCGUAAGGGUGCGUAACGAGUAUGCAAUCUACCCGCAACAGGAGGAUAGCUCCCCGAAAGGGGAAUUAACCCUCCAUGAGAUCACGAGAGGGCAUCUGAUAGUGAUUAAACUACAAGGGGUUGUGGAUGAGCAUGCUUCUGAUUAGCUAGUUGGCAGUGUAACGGACUACCAAGGCGAUGAUCAGUAGGGGAACUGAGAGGUUGAUCCCCCACACUGGCACUGAGAUACGGGCCAGACUCCUACGGGAGGCAGCAGUAGGGAAUAUUGGUCAAUGGGUGAGAGCCUGAACCAGCCAUGCCGCGUGCAGGAAGAAGGCCUUCUGGG
rnacentral:rRNA from 1 species